rnacentral:rRNA from 1 species
GGGCCCGCACAAGCGGUGGAGCAUGUGGUUUAAUUCGAUGCAACGCGAAGAACCUUACCAGGGCUUGACAUACUACGAAUUUUCUUGAAAAAGAAAAGUGCCUUAGGGAAUGUAGAUACAGGUGGUGCAUGGCUGUCGUCAGCUCGUGUCGUGAGAUGUUGGGUUAAGUCCCGCAACGAGCGCAACCCUUAUUUUUAGUUACCAAUUCGUUGGGUUCUCUAGAAAGACUGCCGGUGACAAACCGGAGGAAGGUGAGGAUGACGUCAAGUCAGCAUGCCCCUUAUGUCCUGGGCUACACACGUGCUACAAUGGUUAAGACAAAGAGUCGCGAGCUCGCAAGAGUGAGCUAAUCUCGUAAACUUAGCCUAAGUUCAGAUUGUAGGCUGCAACUCGCCUACAUGAAGUUGGAAUCGCUAG